AUGCCAUCGCGCCGCGUCGCCGUGAUCGGCGCGCGAGCCUCUGGGCUGGUGGCGGCGCGUGAGCUGCGGCGUGUGGGCCACGUCCCCGUCGUCUUCGAGCAAGCCGCCUGCAUGGGCGGCACAUGGCUCUACGACGACGACCCUGACCCUGCAGACCCGCUCGGCGCUGGCGGCACGCACUCGAGCGUCUACGCGUCCCUCCGCAUCAACCUCUCCCGCGAGUGCAUGGGCUUCCUCGACUUCCCCUUCGUCGCCGCCGAGGGAGCCAAGGGCGACCCGCGCAGGUUCCCCGGGCACAGGGAGGUGCUCCGGUAUCUCCAGGACUUCGCGCGGCGGUUCGAUCUCCAUGCGCUGGUCAGGCCCGGGAUGGAGGUGGUCAGCGUCCGCCGCAGUGUCGGCGCCGCGGGCUGGAGGGUCUCGUACUGCUCGAGAAAGCUUGCCGGCGUCGGCCGCGAGAUAGUGGAGUGUUGGGACUAA
rnacentral:rRNA from 1 species